ensembl:lncRNA
CCUGAACUGACCUGAUGGCUCAUGAGAAGGCGGUUACUAUGCCAUGAAAUUCCUGUCUUGUACUACAACAGCAAGGAAGAAGAGACUAGAACUUCUCUUUCUGCUACCUCUCCUCAGGAAGCUGCAGAGAGCAAUGAGGAUGCAUCAGUCUUUGUUCUUCUAGACUAGACAGCCCACAUGUCUUCAUCCUCUCCUCACAGGACAUGUUUUCCAGCCCUUUUAUCAGCCUUCUUGCCCUUCUCUGGAUGCUUUCAAGAACAUUAUCAUCCUUUUAAUAUGUGGAGCCCAGAAAUGCACGCAGUAGUCAAGGUCAAGGGAGGUAAUUUUUCUUCUGUAGUGAGAGUUGGGGCCACGCCUGAAGUACUGUGUCCAGUUCUGUGAUGAACUUACAAAAGCAAGUCCAUCAAAAAGCCAAUGAGAUGAUUAAAAGACUAUAGUACAUCUUGUAGGAGAAGAAGCUGAGAGCCUGUUUAGCCUGGAGAAUUCUCACAGGAGAUCUUAUUAAAAUGAAUAAAUACAUUAUCUGAAGAAAUGAAGAAGUGGUAGACAGCUGC